CUCUUAUCGAGAGAGGCGGAGGGACUGGCCCGAUGAAGCCCGGCAACCGAUAGUAUUAAUCGAUACUAUGUCGGUGCCAAAUCCUGCAGUAAAGAGAUGAUUCUUUUUACUGAAAGAUGAGGG
rnacentral:ncRNA from 2 species